rnacentral:rRNA from 1 species
UACAGAGGUCUCAAGCGUUGUUCGGAUUCAUUGGGCGUAAAGGGUGCGUAGGCGGCGCGGUAAGUCGGGUGUGAAAUCUCGGGCUUAACUCCGAAACUGCAUUCGAUACUGCCGUGCUUGAGGACUGGAGAGGAGACUGGAAUUUACGGUGUAGCGGUGAAAUGCGCAGAUAUCGUAAGGAAGACCAGUGGCGAAGGCGGGUCUCUGGACGAGUUC